ACAUGCCUAUAGCAUAGCGUUAAUGCAUCGGAUCCCAUUAGAACUCCGCAGUUAAGCGCGCUCAGGCUAGAGUAGUACUGGAAUGGGUGACUGCCCGAGAAUUCUUAGUGUUUUACAUGCC
rfam:Picea glauca, whole genome shotgun sequence.